rnacentral:lncRNA from 1 species
GGACGGUAAGGUACGGAUAGUCUGAAGGGUCAAGGUGAAGCCAAGGUAAUUAGAAUAAUCGCAUGAUUAAGGUGAUUGGGCUGUGAUUGGGCCUUGAUUAAGAUUGCCUUAAUACUAGGCCCAUAUCCAGCACUAUAAAUACAUGUCAGGGAUUUAUUGCGCAUUUACUUCUGAGCUCAGAUACCCGAUCGAAUAACCUAACUAACUUAAGCAUCGGAGUACCUUUGAC